GCUCGCAGAUGGGUCAGGGACUCUGGAGAAUUGCUAGAAACCAGCAAUUGCAACAGCAAGGAUACAGUGGACAAGGCUAUCUUAGCAGAGAGCAUGGUAGGAGGAUACCUGCUAACAAUGUUUCCAGUACAAGCCACCGAAAGCAAGCCCAAGGAGGCAUUGACAUUUACCACCUGCUGAAGGCAAGAAAAUCUAAAGAACAAGAAGGAUUCAUUAACCUGGAAAUGUUGCCACCAGAGCUUAGUUUUACCAUUUUGUCAUACCUGAAUGCAACUGAUCUCUGUCUAGCAUCAUGUGUCUGGCAGGAUCUGGCAAAUGAUGAGCUCCUCUGGCAAGGGUUGUGCAAAUCCACUUGGGGUCACUGUUCUAUAUACAAUAAGAAUCCGCCUCUAGGAUUUUCUUUUAGAAAAUUGUAUAUGCAGCUAGAUGAGGGCAGUCUCACCUUUAAUGCCAACCCUGAUGAGGGAGUCAACUACUUUAUGUCCAAAGGCAUACUAGAUGAUUCGCCGAAAGAAAUAGCUAAGUUUAUCUUUUGCACAAGAACACUGAAUUGGAAGAAGCUGAGAAUCUACCUUGAUGAAAGGAGAGAUGUUUUGGAUGACCUUGUGACGCUGCACAACUUCAGAAAUCAGUUCUUGCCAAAUGCACUGAGAGAGUUCUUCAGACACAUUCACGCUCCUGAGGAGCGUGGGGAGUACCUUGAAACUCUCAUAACAAAGUUCUCUCACAGAUUCUGUGCUUGUAAUCCUGAUUUGAUGAGAGAGCUUGGCCUUAGCCCUGAUGCAGUGUAUGUACUGUGUUACUCUUUGAUUCUACUUUCAAUUGAUCUAACGAGCCCUCACGUGAAGAACAAAAUGUCAAAGAGGGAAUUCAUCCGGAAUACGCGACGAGCUGCACAGAACAUUAGUGAAGAUUUUGUAGGGCACCUUUAUGACAACAUCUACCUUAUUGGCCAUGUGGCUGCCUAAAAGCACAAUUUGCUAGCACUUAAAAUUUGUAAUUUUCAAAAACUACAUCAAUUCAAGAUAUUAAUUAUUUUGUAGAGAUGGGGGUUAUUUUAGUGCUGGUCAUUCUAACCUCUGUAUGCAAUCAAAGUUUGUGUGUGUAAGUGUGUGUAUGUGUAAACUACUUUUCUAUCUUAUUUACUGUGGGAACAGAAGGAUUUUGUUUUCUUUUUUUUUUUUUUUUAGUUUUGCACAAAACAAUGCCAUUAGUCUGACACAGCCAUUUCUGAAUGUUAAACUGACAUUACAGCCCAAGCUGAAAAAGCGGUGAAUUUGUGCAUUAGAUCUGCUUGAAACUUUAAUAAGUUCAUUCUUUUUAGAAUACCAUGUAAUGUGUAUAUAUUUAACAAAAGAGAUUUAUAAUCAUAAUUAUUUUAUUGUAAAGUAUUUUAACUAAAAUUUCUCCCUUUAUCUCUUAAAUUAGUGUUUGACUUUCGUUUGCAUUUUUUUACAAUGCUGACUACCUCAGGUACUUAAGUUAGAGGAACAUUGGUCUGAAUGCUACAAUAAAGUUUAUUCUAGGAGAUGAUAGAACACUUGUAAAAUAUCUAAGCUGGUAUUUUAUACUGUAUUUAUUAACUUGAAUUAGCAAGUUGCCAAUCUGCUAUUCACUCAAUUUUAAAUAUUGCAGGCUCUAUUUUAGAUGAACCCUGGUGCCAUACAGGGGUAGCCAGGGGAAAUCAUGCAGUGUACAGAGAGGUUUACAAUAUUUACAUACAUAACCUAUUUUGCAGAUACUAGUUUUUGGGGAACAGGGCAACUACAAUCAUCUAUUCAGUGCAGUAAGCAAGAAAAAAUCUGGACAGGGAAAGUGGUUGGAGUGAAUAAAGUGUGGCUUUCAACUGGUUCCCUCAGUCUAGAAGUGUCAAUGAUGGAAAUGCCUUGGCAAAUGUAUACCAGAUGACUCGUUGCUAAAGCUGUUAAAAACUGACGGUGCAAGAUUAGAGCAGUGACUGUGCAGGAUUGGAGAACUGAAUAAAUUCAGAUUCAGAUAUUGAAUUACUUUCUAAGUUGGAUUUUAAAGAGCUCUAAAUUUAUGGAAAUACUUCUGAAAUUACUUGGUUAGGUUUCGUCUUGACAUGUUCUGAAGUGUGGAGAGUAUUACCAGUGGAACUGCUGUGCAUGUGCAGGAAUUGAAUAAGGAUUUGCCUAGUUUUUGUUCAGACAACUCACAGAGCAGUGCUAUUCUUAAGUUGACAUAACAGGUAGUUGAAGUAAGAGCUGUUCCUGAUUGUUUACAUAAUAUUCAGCUAUCAGUAGCAUCUAGAUACAUCAUGGUAACAAGUAUAUUUAUUCUUUUUCCCUACCAUACCAUGAGGUGAGGUGGGAAGGUAUUCAUAAUCUGUAAAACAGAACUAAUCUGAGUUUUUAUGUAGAAAGCCUGUUGCAGAGCCAAGAAUUCAAUUCAGGAAUGACCCCUCACACCAUGCACUUUGCCUAUGCUGCUGCUUUCUGUUUGGCACUAGGGAGUGUUAUGUUUGUUUUGGAUGUGAGGACAGUCCGUACAAGGGCUACAUAAAUCAUGGGAAGAUAAAGAUGUAGCUAUCACUGCUAUUUCAAGUGUUUAUAACUCUGCUCCACAAACUGAAAUGCAUGCAGAAAAAGUACUUUUUUAUGACAUUACCUUUAAUCACAUGUAAAUGCCAUUGCAUUUAUGUAGCACACAGAGCCAAAGCCAGGAGCCAGCAGUACUGCGGCCAUGUUCAGGCAGGGUUACAGUAUCACCUGCCUUGCUCAGGAUAACUACUCUUCACCCAGUGUUGUUUCAUUUAUUGCAGAAAGCCCAAGGAUGUGAUCUGCAGUGGUCAAUUAAUCUCGAACACAAAUUAAGAGUUCAUGGUGCAGUGGGGAGCUUUGUUUAAGACACAGGUAUCUGCUUCUGUAUGAUAGGAAAAAAAAUGGAAAACUUAUAAUUUAUAAAACUAACAAUAAAGGACAAAUGUCUCUGGGCUCUUUAAAGUGGUCUGAAGUGAAGAGGGAAGAAUAUAGUUUUCUAAGAAACACUCCUCAAAGGUUACACACUUUAAAAGAAUAAUUCAGUGAAUUUUGAAAUUAGAACUUUUCUUGUUAGAAAAUAUUUUUUCCUCAAACCACAAAUGCAGAGCAAGGCUUAAUUCUGUUCUGACUUAUUAGUUGACAUUAGUGAUACUGGUAUUGAUUUUGCACUAGUAAGAGAGUAUGAAUUGUUAGUCUGCAUUUCUCUUAAUUUCCAGUUACCCUGAUACAGAGUAAAACCUUCAGGCAGACAGAACAUGUUUUUUCUGGAAUAGAUGAGUACAUCUAUUAGCAAGAUUUAGAAAACUUGGGCCAGUGUAGCAGCCAAGAAGAUAAAUUAGAAACAGAAUAAUACAAUUCAAGUUUCCAUAAGACAAGUCCAGGGGAAAAGAAAACAAAACCCUAAUGACAUGCAGAUAACAGCAUCUGAUCUUCAUAACAGGAUUUUGAGCAGUGUUAGAGGAUUAGUACCCAACUCAUGUUAUGUUACUAACACAGAGUGCAACAGAAAACAGCAAACACAGCAUGCCAAGUGUGAAUUCCCUCAGAGGCAACCACAAAACAACUAAUUAAUACGAACAUUUCUUCUGUCCUUUUUCCAGUUUGAGUCAAGCUCUAAAGUGGCUGAGAAGUAAUUUUUUGCAUUUUAGCAAUCUAGACUUCACAUGAAGUUAAACAUUUUUCUGCCUUAAAAGGAGAAAAAAGUCUUAAUUAGGUGUAAUAAUACUCUUUAAAAAAUGACAAAAAUAGUCUUGAUUGUCCUCCAAAACUUUAAAAAACAAAGUUUUGGGCAGUGUUUUCUUCAAUGCACUUGGUGUUUCCACGCACAUUUUAAAAUAAUGCUUCAUUGAUCCAGGUGUCCCUAAAUGAUGUGAUGUGGAAAUAGCUGCUUGAUCAAGCACUUCAGAAGAUUUAGGUAGAGGGUCUCAAGCUGAAUUACAUGAGCAUGAUCAUGCUUAUAACUGCAAAGUGAUUCCCAAGCUGUUGUGUUUCCACCACUGCAUGUCCUUUGAACUUUGGCCGUGUGGUGUUGCCUUAACUCUUAACUGUAUGCACUGUACACAGCACUGAGGGAAGAAGUGAGCCUGCAGCCCAUCCCCCUGCAAACACUCACUGUUCUGUCCUAAAAGACACUGGAAUUGUUCUGAAUGGUCAUUUCUGAAAGUUUGGUAGCUUCAUUACACACAGAUACGAUAAAAAGACUUUUCUGUUCAUGUUGGGAAAAUGAGUGUACCUGUGUCCAUGUGAAGUGUCACACAAAUGCAGCUCAUGUUUGCUUUGAUUAAAGUCUGAGGCUCUGAUUGCAUUUAUUGAAGGAAUAUGGCAUAUAUUAGAUAUUCACAUGGCUUAGCUGUAGAUAGCAUCUGAUAUUAUCUGUUUUCUCAAGUUAUUUCUGUCUAGAAUACUUUCCGUUCAAACUCUAAACAACACAUUUAUACAGUUUUGACUUUUUAAAAUAAAUCAAAACUGCUGCAACAUACAGAAGCCCAAAUACAAGUUUGAGACAUGUUUGUUGAUUUUGAAGCAAGUGAGAAGUUUGCAUUCAGGAAAAAAAAAUCCAAUUUUUUCUCUUUAAACUUACCCUUCCACUCUCCAUAUUGGAAAAAGAAAAAAUGUAAACAGUUUCAAAAUACAGCUUUAAGAAAAUAAAAUGACUUGCUGGA